GCAAGGUAUCGAAGUACGCGCUUUGCUGCUUCGAGGUGGAGUGUUGUAGGGUGGUGCAUGAACUGAGACAAUCUGUUGACUGCAAAGGCUAUGUCAGGCCUUGUAAGACAGAGAUACUGCAGGCUACCAACAAUUGCACGGAACGAUAGAGGAUCACUGAGAGAGACACCACCUUUCUGAGUCAGCACUUGCGUAGAGCACAUAGGAGUGGCAUUGCCUGAGUUUGACAUUUAGAUUGCGGUAGGAAGAAGGAAAAGAAAAAAAAAAAAAAAAAAUUAGGUCAGAGGUUAAUCGUUUGCUCUGAUACCAUGUAAGAUAGGUUUGAAUGUAUAUAUUAUUGAUAACGUGAGAGCUUAUUUAUACAUGGUAUACAAGAUCUUUGAUAAGAUCAAAUCUGUAGAUAAGUACUAGCGUAUUAUCUUUGAUCAUUAUCUUCAGUAUGGAUAUACACUAAUACUGAACCAUAUCAAACUUUUCCGCAUAGAGCCUGAAGUUUUCAAACUCAAAAACCACCACCAAAACUAAGAAACCAAUACAAUGAAUGAAACAGUAGGAAGGGUCUACUCGCAACGUGGGUGAUAAGCCGCCGGAGCAAACCCUCACGGCAAGAAAAUCAAAGAAUAAGAAGAGACAGCUAGGGUUUAGAGAGUAGUUUAUGAGCUUGCUUCACUUAUACAAAUAAUGAUCAGACAUUAUAGACAGUUGAUAAAUCAGAAAAUGCUUCUAACAACGAAAGAUGCACAAAUCAUUCUGCCACUAAUCUUACAAACAUCAAACAGGUAAAAAAAAAAGUGAAUACACUUUCUCCUUCCAUUUUUUUUUUAUCAUGUCUACAAGCAUGAGCACGAGCACGGCGCUGAGUCAUUAGGCAGCGGUGUUAAAUCAGAU